rnacentral:rRNA from 1 species
GACGGGCCCGCACAAGCGGCGGAGCAUGCGAUUAAUUCGAUGCAACGCGAAGAACCUUACCUGGGUUUGACAUAUACCGGAAACAUCUAGAGAUAGGUGCCCUUUUGGUCGGUAUACAGGUGGUGCAUGGCUGUCGUCAGCUCGUGUCGUGAGAUGUUGGGUUAAGUCCCGCAACGAGCGCAACCCUCGUCCUAUGUUGCCAGCGGAUAAUGCCGGGGACUCAUAGGAGACCGCCGGGGUCAACUCGGAGGAAGGUGGGAUGACGUCAAGUCAUCAUGCCCCUUAUGUCCAGGGCUUCACGCAUGCUACAAUGGCCGGUACAAAGAGCUGCGAACCUGCAAGGGUGAGCGAAUCUCAAAAAGCCGGUCUCAGUUCGGAUUGGGGUCUGCAACUCGACCCCAUGAAGUCGGAGUCGCUAGUAAUCGCAGAUCAGCAACGCUGCGGUGAAUACGUUCCCGGGGCUU